GGAGUAGCAGAGCGCAACAGGCAAAAGAGACGACGUGUCGUCGUCUUCUUCUUCGCCUCUUAAAUAUUGAAUGUUAAAUGUAUAGCUCGCUCUGUGAGGAUACGCUACCCAGCAGGGCUUUAAAACAUGUCGCGCUGCUUGGGAAGGCGGGGCCAGCGGUCGGCAGUGGGCGGGACUUAUUAUUUGGGCCAAUCAACGCAGACCUUGAAACGGGGGAGAAAGGGAGAACCAAAAAGUCCCUGCCUCGAAGUAGGAGCUAAAAUAGUUCCAGGAACUACUGUUUCGGGGGAGAAAAAAUCCCCCAAAAAUCCCCCAAUCGUCUGGUGCGAACGCAAACAAAAAGGUACUAGGAACGUUUAGUUCCAGGAACUACAAAAGGUACUGCCGGUGCGAAAGCGCCUAAAGCCUGGUUCUCGCUACUCAGUUUAUACAAUGAAGAAUAUCUUACUUUAAUCAGCAGAAAGAUAUAAUGAGGCAACGUAUGAAACUAAGAAUACAAGUAUCCUAAAAAAUAUGUGAGGAGAACUUGAAUAAAUACCACUAAUUAUUUUACAUCUAUAAUAUUUCAGACAUUUGAUUUGUUUUAACAUCCAAUGUAGAGUUUUAAAAGUUAAAAAUAAAUGUGAUGCUGCUUAAAGAUAUAAUUAGCUUGACUUAAACUGUACUGUAUAAUGUGAACAUUUACAAGUACUUCAUACAUUUCACUUGAAUUUACAUCUGUUAUUAUUGCUCUUUCUUUGUAGGCUCAAGUGGAAGGCGAAUGCUGCUGUUCUUCCUUGAGCUUAAAGACAUCGGACUACAGAGUGCUGCUCCGGACACUGCAGCAUUUUCAAGAUCAGUCAUCAAAAAGCUGCUAUUUUUUCGGAUUAACCUGAGUAUACAGCGACUGCCGUUCGAACAUCAAUCCAAGGUGUUUGCCGAGUUCCAUCGCAUCACAAAUGUGAACCUACAAAACCAAUUCUACUGCGAGCUGGAUCGGUACACACCAAAAUUGAUCGCCUUGUACAGGCAGAAGGCCUCACGGUCUGGCAAGAGGGCAGAGACUCUGCGGCGGAUCCUAGGGAUUUAUGAUCUCCAGGUGAGUUAAGAUGAACUUGGCCAUGGGGACAACCUAAAC
rnacentral:lncRNA from 1 species